rnacentral:piRNA from 1 species
UUNCAGCGUGCACUUAUUAGUUUUUA